UAAGGAAUAUUGGUCAAUGGACGCAAGUCUGAACCAGCCAUGCCGCGUGGAGGAUGAAGGCCCUCUGGGUUGUAAACUUCUUUUAUCUGGGACGAAACACUUCCUUUCUAGGGAGCUUGACGGUACCAGGUGAAUAAGCACCGGCUAACUCCGUGCCAGCAGCCGCGGUAAUACGGAGGGUGCAAGCGUUAUCCGGAUUCACUGGGUUUAAAGGGUGCGUAGGCGGACAUGUAAGUCCGUGGUGAAAUCUCCGAGCUUAACUUGGAAACUGCCAUGGAUACUAUAAAUCUUGAAUACUGUGGAGGUCAGCGGAAUAUGUCAUGUAGCGGUGAAAUGCUUAGAUAUGACAUAGAACACCAAUUGCGAAGGCAGCUGGCUACACAAAUAUUGACACUGAUGCACGAAAGCGUGGGGAUCAAACA
rnacentral:rRNA from 1 species